rnacentral:rRNA from 1 species
GAUGAACGCUGGCGGCGUGCCUAAUACAUGCAAGUCGAGCGAACGGACGAGAAGCUUGCUUCUCUGAUGUUAGCGGCGGACGGGUGAGUAACACGUGGAUAACCUACCUAUAAGACUGGGAUAACUUCGGGAAACCGGAGCUCAUACCGGAUAAUAUUUUGAACCGCAUGGUUCAAAAGUGAAAGACGGUCUUGCUGUCACUUAUAGAUGGAUCCGCGCUGCAUUAGCUAGUUGGUAAGGUAACGGCUUACCAAGGCAACGAUGCAUAGCCGACCUGAGAGGGUGAUCGGCCACACUGGAACUGAGACACGGUCCAGACUCCUACGGGAGGCAGCAGUAGGGAAUCGUCCGCAAUGGGCGAAAGCCUGACGGAGCAACGCCGCGUGAGUGAUGAAGGUCUUCGGAUCGUAAAACUCUGUUAUUAGGGAAGAACAGAUGUGUAAGUAACUGUGCACAGCUUGACGGUACCUAAUCAGAAAGCCACGGCUAACUACGUG